rnacentral:rRNA from 1 species
UACGAAGGGGGCUAGCGUUGCUCGGAAUUACCGGGCGUAAAGCGCACGUAGGCGGUCUUUUAAGUCGGGGGUGAAAUCCUGGAGCUCAACUCCAGAACUGCCUUCGAUACUGGAAGACUUGAGUCCGGGAGAGGUGAGUGGAACUGCGAGUGUAGAGGUGAAAUUCGUAGAUAUUCGCAAGAACACCAGUGGCGAAGGCGGCUCACUGGCCCGGUACUGACGCUGAGGUGCGAAAGCGUGGGGAGCAAACAGG